AGCAAAAUGAUGAAGUAAUUUUGUCUGAAACUGAUGUGGAUUGUUUCAUAUAUACCUUCAAAGUUCUCUGAUUGCU